rnacentral:rRNA from 1 species
GAUGAACGCUGACAGAAUGCUUAACACAUGCAAGUCUACUUGAUUUUACUUCGGUAGUGGAUGGUGGCGGACGGGUGAGUAACGCGUAAAGAAUCUGCCCUUUAGUUCGGGAUAACCUUUGGAAACGAAGGAUAAUACCGGAUAUUAUGGAGACGUCGCAUGACGAUUUCAUGAAAGCUAUAUGCGCUAGAGGAGGACUUUGCGUCCCAUUAGUUAGUUGGUGAGGUAAUGGCUCACCAAGACCGCGAUGGGUAGCCGGCCUGAGAAGGUGAUCGGCCACAAGGGAACUGAGGCACGGUCCUUACUCCUACGGGAGGCAGCAGUGGGGAAUAUUGGACAAUGGGCCACAAGCCUGAUCCAGCAAUUCUGUGUGCACGAUGAAGGUCUUCGGAUUGUAAAGUGCUUUCAGUAGGGAAGAAAAAAAUGACGGUACCUACAGAAGAAGCGACGGCUAAAUAUGUGCCAGCAGCCGCAGUAACAC